UAUAUUAAGAAUAAAGAACAAGUAGUGCGCUCACGAGAAGAUAAAAAAAAGCACUCUCUCUCCUAUCUACCCGUGAAGACAAAAUUCCUUCUCUUAUUUCACCAGCGCGUGGUGGUACGUCCGCCGGCGCCGGACCUCCGACUCCCUCUCUUCUCUUAGCCUCCUGCUCUCCUCUCUCUCUCUUGUCAAUAUGCUUGCUGUCCUGGUGUUGUUCGUCGCCGUUGCCGCUUAGAUCUGCUCACGAAGUCCCUGGGUUUGACGGGGUGGCCGUUUUGUUCUUGGUGGCGUUGCAUUAUUUUCCAUGGCCAUGUAACGACCGUGACACAAGGUGAGCUUCCGGCGAGAUUUAUGGGUGAGUUUCCGGUGGGAUUUCUGGACGAGUUUCCGGCGGAUUUUUCUAGUGAGACUGACGAGCAUGAGUGAUUGCUAUCGGAUUUGUGCUUUGAGAGUUUUAUUUCUUUCUUUUUCAGACUCGGGUUCCGUCUUGGAAUUCGUCUCGAAUUCCGAUUAAGUAGGGAAGAAUUGUAACGACUGUGACCCAAUGUGGGAAAGCCCAUUUGUUUUUAUUAAUUAAAACCCAAAACCCUUCUUUUUAUUUUGUCCCACAUUGGAAGUUUAGAAAACCUACCUCACUUCCCUUUUCUUAUAUAAGAAGCUCCACCCUUUCUCUUUAUUCUCAUCAAGUCAAAGUAUUUCUUUGCGCGUGACGAAUUGUUGUUGAAUUAUUCGACGACCAGUUAUUAGUUAAUUUUCCGGUGGAAUUUCCGGAUGAGCUUCCGGCGAGAUUUAUGGGCGAGCUUCCGGUGGGAUUUCUGGUCGAGCUUCCGGCGGAUUUUUCUAGCAAGUUUGUUGCCUCCUUAUUUCUAGUUAUAGGAAUAUUUUAGAAAAGUUUCUAAUUUAGGAAAUAAGUUAUAUUAGGGAAGUUUCUAUUAUAGGAAAGUUGCUAUUUUUGGAAAGUUUUCAUUUUUGGAAACUUUAUUUCCUGAGACUCUGAGCCUAAGUCGUUGUCUCUUGUGUUGCAGUUGACCAUCUUCAGUCGAUCAUUCCAGCCAAUGACUAAGGUUAGGGCUACUUCGUUAAAUCCCGAGCUAGUUUAGUACUACUAUUAUGGAAAGUCUAGUUUUGAAACAUGAUCUGUCUAUGUGAAUUGAGUCUGUUUGAGAGUCUUGUUUGUUUAUUAUUAUUAUUGAUUGUUAAACCGGAAAUAGGAUAAUAGAGGAUUCAACGGUUGAAUGAAAUGAGUGAUGUUAAAACUGCUAUAUAUAUAUAUAAAUAUAUAAGUCCGUUUGUGUGGAUUGCGGGUGCACAAAGACGUUUGUGUAAACCGCUGACAAGCAGUGUGAUUGCGGGUGCACAGAGACGUUUGUGUAAGCCGUCGACGAACAAUGUGAUUGCGGGUGCACAGAGACGUUUGUGUAAGCCGCCGACGCGCAGAUUGUGGGAGUGCAGAGAUGGACUACUAUACGCCUGGAGAUAUACAUAUAUUCUUAUGAGGAAAUGUGGGGUGCAUAGAGUAGCAUGUACUAUCAGCGCAUUGGAUGUUUUAUGUGGUGUAUUAGACAUUGUGUUUGUUUCAUGCUAGAGCUAGGCCUACAUGGUCGUAGUGCUAUGUACUGAGUCACUGGUUUGCGGUUU